rnacentral:rRNA from 1 species
UACGUAGGUGGCAAGCGUUGUCCGGAAUUAUUGGGCGUAAAGCGCGCGCAGGCGGUCCUUUAAGUCUGAUGUGAAAGCCCACGGCUCAACCGUGGAGGGUCAUUGGAAACUGGGGGACUUGAGUGCAGAAGAGGAAAGCGGAAUUCCACGUGUAGCGGUGAAAUGCAUUGAGAUCGGAAAGAACACCAACGGCGAAAGCACUCUGCUGGGCCGACACUGACACUGAGAGACGAAAGCUAGGGGAGCAAAUGGG